AUGCAGAGGAGAUCCCAUUGCUCUGCAGGUCAACUGCGCCUCCCGUGGACGGUCAUCUCCACUGGAGCCCUUGCAUCAUCCCACCUCCCAGCGCUCAGGCCGUUCGCCGCUGCCAAAUCCAGUUGUUCAACGAUAAGUUCAUUUCUUAUUGCCCGAGAGUUCAUGUAUUACUACAAAAAAUUGACAUUCAGAACACCAAUAGGAAAAAACAGCCAGCAGAAGUCCGUUCAGCAGUGGCCAGGCCGUUCAGUGACGCGAAGCAAGGUCGUUCACUGGAUCAGGGUCAUCCCGUCGAUCCCCUCUUCGGCGCGCGCUGCUCGGCCUCCCACCAUGCAAGUCCACCGCUCGUUGCGUGCUGCCACUGUCGGGGCCGGCGAGACCCACCCGCCCACCUCCUGUCCCCGCCUGUGGCCGCUUUUGAAGUCCAGCCUGACUAGCCUAUUCAGUUCGAUACUCGGUGUGCUCUACGGACGGGGAGGCAUGGAGCUGUCGACUAGUAUGGGAGGCGAGCUGCUACUGCGAUGGGGAGGCAGUCCAGCACCCAGUUCGGUGCUCUGGGAGAAACUGAAGAGCUUCCUGGGCAUAAACAAGCAGAGAAGCUUCAAGUUCCUGUCCAUGGAGAAGCAUCAGAGUUUCGAGGAGAGGAGGAGCAGGGACAACGCUGGAAAGAAGAGGGUGAUAGCGCACCACCUCGCGGCAAGGACCGGCAAUAUCUACCAUUACAGAGUACUACCGAACAUCAAGCUCAAUCUUGCCCGCUUUGAUGCUAUGUAUGAGUGGAUAAGAUAG
rnacentral:rRNA from 1 species